GGUAGCUCAAUGGUAGAGCAACAGGGAAAAUGCAGGUUCGAAUCCUGCUACCA
rnacentral:tRNA from 1 species